CAAAGUGGAGUGCAUAAACUUAAUCACCACACAACUGGCCUGGCUCAAAAAGGUUAGUAUUUUUGUUUUCCUAAUUUAGUCUUUUGUUUCUCUUCUUUUGAAAAGAGUUCAUACUUGAAUUUCCUCACAAUUUCUUUAAUUAGACAUUUAGUUUCCAUAAGAAUUAUAUGUUUGGUACACUCAAAUUGAUUUUCUUUUAUAAUGUAUUUCUUUGUUCACCUUUCUUUCCCUUUGAUGCACAUUUUUUCUUAUGUGAUCAUUUUAACAACCAUAACUAAAGUAUUAAGUAAUUAAUAUACAUAUACUUUAAUCAAGUAUAGUAACUAUUUUCUUCAUCAAUUGCUGUGACAUCAUGUAAGAAGGCCAUUUUGUAAUUUGGCAACAUUAAAAAUAAUCCAAAUUGCCUAAUGCUUUUGCAGUUAUUUAUGCUGCUAGAAUGACUUAUAAUUCUAAUUACAGAUGGCAAAAUCAAAGUUAAUAAGUAACUCUGACUUUUUUUGUGAAGACAUCCAUCUAGACAUCACUAAAGAUUUGGUUAUAAUUUUACAAAGAAUUCAUCAUAUAAACAUGGUAUGCAAACAGAAAAGCAAAAGCAGAUUUAAUGGACAUUAUGAGUAAAUAGAUUUUUGCUUUCUUAUGUAUGUAGAGAAAAUAAGAGAGAAUAACUUUUUGAGUAUUCAAGGUAUAAAUCAGUUCAUUUUUUGGAGAGAAUGGAGUGAUAUAUUCAAAGCUUUAAAGGAUAAAAACCUUCAGCCAAGAAUACUCUAUCCAGAAAGAAUUUCCUUCAGAUAUGAGGGAGAAAUUAAAUCUUUUCCAGACAAACAAAAGUUAGGGGAAUUUGUAACUAAAAGCCCUCCAUUACAAGAAAUCCUCAAGAAGGCUCUCAUACUUGAAAAAAGAAAAAAGGGAGAAAGGGGACACAAUCCACAGACUAGGGAGACCGAUGGAUAGAACCAGAACAGGAUAGCAAAUAUUCAACUAUAGCAUUAGGGUAAAAAUAAGGAAACUACCAAAACAAGGACGAUCUUAGCACUCUAACUACAAAUUAAUAAGACGAGUUGGAAUAAAAAAUGAAAAUAAUUAUUUAGGAGGGGAAGAGCAAAGGGUCUAAAUCAGUAUUGGUCGAGUAAGUAAGAGACCACCAGAGAAUAGACUAUAUUAUACACAAGAUUCUAAAUACAAACUUCAAGGUAGACACUAAAAUAAAGUACAGAACAGAGUCACAAAUCAU
rnacentral:lncRNA from 1 species